rnacentral:lncRNA from 1 species
AGAGUGAAUAUUGUAUAUGAUCAGGGAAAAGUCAUUUAAUAUAUUUAUAUGUAUAGUUAGAGACAGGGUCUCCCUGUGUUGUCCAGGCUAGUCUGGAAUUCCUUUUUAGUCAGGAACAAACAAGAAGAAAAAAGAGGGAGUGGUCAGUGAGUCAAAGAGAAGCUCCAUGGAGGUAGGUGGUCAGAGAGAACUCCCAGGGUCAGGGUGGCCACAUAACAAUAUUCAGUUUUGAGUUCUGGAAGGUAUUUAAUAUAAAACACUGCAUCCUCCCACCUGUAAAUGCCUAUGACAUAGCAUUGUGCCAGUUAUAUGUCAGAGAAUAAAGAAUUUAGUGUUCAGAAUAAGCACUGAGUGGAGCCACCAAGGGACGGUUG